rnacentral:rRNA from 1 species
CAGCCGCCGCGGGAAUACGAAGGGUGCAAGCGUUAAUCGGAAUUACUGGGCAUAAAGCGUGCGUAGGCGGUUUGUUAAGUCUGUUGUGAAAUCCCCGGGCUCAACCUGGGAAUGGCAAUGGAUACUGGCAAGCUAGAGUGUGUCAGAGGAUGGUGGAAUUCCCGGUGUAGCGGUGAAAUGCGUAGAGAUCGGGAGGAACAUCAGUGGCGAAGGCGGCCAUCUGGGACAACACUGACGCUGAGGCACGAAGGCGUGGGGAGCAAACAGGAUUAGAUACCCCCGUAGUCCCUGUCUCUUAUAC